rnacentral:rRNA from 1 species
AGUUGAUCCUGGCUCAGGAUGAACGCUAGCGGCAGGCUUAACACACGCAAGUCGAGGGGUAUAGUAGCAAUACUAGAGACCGGCGCACGGGUGCGUAACGCGUAUGCAAUCUACCUUUUGCAGAGGGAUAGCCCAGAGAAAUUUGGAUUAAUACCUCAUAGUAUAGUGAUACCGCAUGGUGCUACUAUUAAAGUCACAACGGCAAAAGAUGAGCAUGCGUCCCAUUAGCUAGUUGGUAAGGUAACGGCUUACCAAGGCAACGAUGGGUAGGGGUCCUGAGAGGGAGAUCCCCCACACUGGUACUGAGACACGGACCAGACUCCUACGGGAGGCAGCAGUGAGGAAUAUUGGACAAUGGGCGCAAGCCUGAUCCAGCCAUGCCGCGUGCAGGAUGACGGUCCUAUGGAUUGUAAACUGCUUUUAUACGAGAAGAAACACUCCGACGUGUCGGAGCUUGACGGUAUCGUAAGAAUAAGGAUCGGCUAACUCCGUGCCAGCAGCCGCGGUAAUACGGAGGAUCCAAGCGUUAUCCGGAAUCAUUGGGUUUAAAGGGUCCGUAGGCGGAUUUGUAAGUCAGUGGUGAAAUCUCUCCGCUCAACGGGGAAACGGCCAUUGAUACUGCAAGUCUUGAAU